GGGAAGAAGCGAAAGUGACGGUACCUGCAGAAAAAGCGCCGGCUAACUACGUGCCAGCAGCCGCGGUAAUACGUAGGGCGCAAGCGUUAUCCGGAAUUAUUGGGCGUAAAGAGCUCGUAGGCGGUUUGUCGCGUCUGCUGUGAAAUCCCGAGGCUCAACCUCGGGCCUGCAGUGGGUACGGGCAGACUAGAGUGCGGUAGGGGAGAUUGGAAUUCCUGGUGUAGCGGUGGAAUGCGCAGAUAUCAGGAGGAACACCGAUGGCGAAGGCAGAUCUCUGGGCCGUAACUGACGCUGAGGAGCGAAAGGGUGGGGAGCAAACAGGCUUAGAUACCCUGGUAGUCCACCCCGUAAACGUUGGGAACUAGUUGUGGGGACCAUUCCACGGUUUCCGUGACGCAGCUAACGCAUUAAGUUCCCCGCCUGGGGAGUACGGCCGCAAGGCUAAAACUCAAAGGAAUUGACGGGGACCCGCACAAGCGGCGGAGCAUGCGGAUUAAUUCGAUGCAACGCGAAGAACCUUACCAAGGCUUGACAUAUACGAGAACGGGCCAGAAAUGGUCAACUCUUUGGACACUCGUAAACAGGUGGUGCAUGGUUGUCGUCAGCUCGUGUCGUGAGAUGUUGGGUUAAGUCCCGCAACGAGCGCAACCCUCGUUCUAUGUUGCCAGCACGUAAUGGUGGGAACUCAUGGGAUACUGCCGGGGUCAACUCGGAGGAAGGUGGGGAUGACGUCAAAUCAUCAUGCCCCUUAUGUCUUGGGCUUCACGCAUGCUACAAUGGCCGGUACAAAGGGCUGCAAUACCGUGAGGUGGAGCGAAUCCCAAAAAGCCGGUCCCAGUUCGGAUUGAGGUCUGCAACUCGACCU
rnacentral:rRNA from 1 species